GACGAACGCUGGCGGCGUGCUUAACACAUGCAAGUCGAACGCUGAAGCUCAGCUUGCUGGGUGGAUGAGUGGCGAACGGGUGAGUAACACGUGAGUAACCUGCCCUCUUCUUUGGGAUAACGCCCGGAAACGGGUGCUAAUACUGGAUAUUCACUGAUUCUCGCAUGGGGGUUGGUGGAAAGGUUUUUUCUGGUGGGGGAUGGGCUCGCGGCCGAUCAGCUUGUUGGUGGGGUGAUGGCCUACCAAGGCUUUGACGGGUAGCCGGCCUGAGAGGGUGACCGGUCACAUUGGGACGGAGAUACGGCCCAGACUCCUACGCGGGGCAGCAGUGGGGAAUAUUGCACAAUGUGCGAAAGCCUGAUGCAGCGACGCCGCGUGAGGGAUGGAGGCCUUCGGGUUGUAAACCUCUUGCGCUCAUGGUCAAGCCGCAGCUUUGGGUUGUGGUGAGGGUAGUGGGUAAAGAAGCGCCGGCUAACUACGUG
rnacentral:rRNA from 1 species